AACUUCUAGUCAAUAAUUGUUUUUUGUUUCCUUCAUGUGUAAUUUUGAAAAUUAUGAUUCCCUGAAUGUCACUUCUCUCUAGAAGCUAAACUCAAGGACAGUUACUGAUCUCUGCACCAUAAAAUUAUGGCUACCUAUCUGACACCAUGAGAUAAGCUACCCUUUUACAGAUAAACAAGCUGGAGGCUUGCCUCAGGCAAGAAGGGUGAAUGGACGAUAAUGGGAUUCAGCAGAAGGAAAAUGAGCACUGGAUGAAAGAAGGCAGCAUUACUUGGAGCUGUAAGAAAGGAGCAUUCCAUGCUAAACAAGAAGGUGCUGAGCAAAAAUGGUCGAAUUCACACCACCCGUCUCCUCUUCUGAAGGCCAAACUCUAUGUGGUACUGAAGAUCCAUGUAGACAAGCCCUCUCUUCAUCCACCAUCUUGAGAGAGAGAGAGGCAGGCUAGCUCCAACA